AACGCUACCCCUGUUACAAGCAUGAGUGGUUGACUUCAUGCAGACAUGCGCAGACAUUGAAGUACCGCGAGAGUGAUUCAAAAGCCCACGAAACAGUGUAAUCACGCGGUACUGUGAUGUCAUACUGGUUAACGCUAAGCCACGUGAAGCCGGACACAAGGGCUACACUAAUCUUUGGGCUGGAGUAGCCUGUGGUUUUUAAGGCUUCGUGUCUCAUCGCGUUAAACGAUCGCAGAACGAUUUAUUUCUCUUUUUCACCUCGAUCUUUGGCCUCGUGUGAUUUACCAAAACCAACAUGUGAAGUUACAACGCUGACGAAGGAGUUUCAUCAGUAGAGUGUGUCCUGGUAAACGUGUGCUCGGAAACAUGCAGAUUACAGUAUUUACAGAGCCGACCUUGAGUCACCCACUGAUGGAUAAUCUGUUUACCUAAAAACAGCCCACCACAAUCCAUGUUUACCAGCUGUGAAAGUGCAGGCCAAAAAUCUUCCUUCACCUGUGGGCCUCUACCCACAUGUAGAUAAGCACUUCAGGAGAAACCUGCCUGUGAUCUGCUAAGAUGCACAGAUUCAACUCUGGCCCAUUGUCAUCCCAACACCUCAUCUGCCAUCAGUUUCGUUUAGUGUCGGUCUAUUGCAAAAGUUCUUACUUUAAAUGAGACUUUGUGUUAAGCAGGGGUUUCCAAACUUUUCAUUCCACUACAUAUUAAGCCCAGGAUACACAGCAG